CCUAUCCAAUAAUUCUGCAACAAAACAGAUCACACAAGUUGAUUUGUAAAUAUAAAAUAACAAUUUUAGAAUUUAAGGGAAUAUUCAUGUUGACCGCGCCAUUACAGAAAAUUCAAGAAAAAUUUUGGAAAAGAAAUAGGUAUUUCAUACCUAAUAAUUUCAUGAUUAUAGAUCCGAUCUGGUUGAGAUUUUGCAUGUCAAUAUAGAAUAAUCGUGCAAGUAAAUAAUAAUAAAAUAAUAAUUUUAAGCUUCAUGUGAAUGUUUAUUUCGCAGGUGCCAUCUGUGGACACUGGUAAAACAUCAUAUUAAUCUGUGAUACCAUGAUACUGUCAGAAACAACAACAACAACACUGGAGUUUGAAAAUAAACGGCCUGAUGUACAUAAAACCAAAACUGAUAGUUGUCUGUGAUAUAACUAGGAUAUAAAAGCAAUGAAUACGAACAAGAUACGGUUUCGUUCAUUGUUCAUGUAGAAUAGAAUAGGUGUAUGAUCCUGAAACCCAAUCUAUAAUUCCAAUGCUCGAAGUCAAAAAUUCACAACUAAAGGAAAUCUCUCUCAACUUAUUAAAAGAAGCAGCAACAUAUUACAGAAGUUCAGAAUGUGAAAAAAAAAAAGAUUUUUCAGUAAAGGGAACGGUUCCAAAAGUAUGUUGACUGAAGCUCAGAAUUACAACUUAGAAGGAUUAGGUGUCAUUCCUGAAUGAAUAAUAUCGACUCACAGCAGGUAUUAUUAAUUACGAAUUAUUCAAAGUGAGCCUGUAACUUCAGAACAAAAUAAUGCGGUGAAUUGUUUAUACUAGGAUACUCAAUGGAACUCAUGUGAUUUAUCUAAGGAGUAUGUCACAAAAUAAUUCCCCUUUUGGAGGAUACUACAAGGACCUAGUUACGGAUGAAUUGUCUAUUAAAAAAAUAGCAAAAAAAGGACUGGGUAUAUAUGUGUUGGUACAAACCUGGUUGCUUCAAAUUCAGGAUUUUAAGAAUGGAACAAACUUAGUGUAUUUUUUUCCAAGAAUCAGUAGAAUGUUGUCAAUAUGUCAAUGAAUAAUGUCUGAAGAGGUCUGAUGCUAUGUCUGUGAAGUACUUUUUCAACAUUGAAGUAUAAAGAAAAACAUAGUUUACAUGUCUAUUGUUACCGUAGAUUAAUUGAAAAUUAUUAAUAAGAAGUAUUUAACAUUCAAUUAUUUUUUAAAUAAAACAAUGUUUCAAAUAGUAGUCUUUUUUUUCAAUUCGAAAUUAUAUAGGAAAAAUAUGUAACAUUUGAUUUAUAUAGAUAGGUUUAGGCCACAUUAUGUACACAUUAAUACCAUAUUAAUUUGAGAACAUUAAUCGUAGAUAAAAUAUAUAUUUUGUCGAUAUACUGUGCCAAUAUACAAUUAAUUUCGAUUUUCCAUAGCCGCCCGAGGGGUCAAUAAA